AGCUUGUGACGUCAUGCGACUUUCAAUAUGGCAUUGAAAGGCACGUCAUCGAAAGCAUCCUCAAUAUUCAAGAAAUCACCCAAGCAAAAACUACGUUUUAGCGAGUACUUUCUUGAAAACGUAUACAACUUUGUGUAAAAGAGUCACUGUGGACAUCCCAAAUUGGGAGGCAUGUGAGUUCACAUGAAUAGGCUGUAACGUUUGCAUAAAAUAUUUGGUAAAUUUAUAGAAUUAGUCAAUCGUUUAUUAAAAAUAAGAUCCAACUAGAUUAGACUGCUUUAAAAUGUUCCGCUAGCUUGCUCAAUCAACACCGACAAAGCCAUUAUACGUUCAACACGUGUUGUAAUACCGCCGUCGAUGAGUCGCACAUGACAGAGACGGACCACGAAGAACCGACCCUCGCGAAGUGCGUAGAGGCAAACCUCGACAAACGAUCAUCACACGAACAGCGAUCGUCUAGACAGUGCCACGAAGGUUCAACUUUUGCAAAGCGCAUGGGAGCAAGUCUCGACAACAGAUCACCGGACGCUGUGCAAUCGCCAAGAGAGUGAGUUACACGGAGGCUUCAAGUAUGACACUCACCCGAAGUAUAUCGAACGAAACCAACAAUUUGGACGAGGGAUCAAUUGGCGCGUGCAGCCUCUUGCCUCAGUGCACGCUAAUCGCCGAGGAAGAUCAGGCGCUAUUUUGUAGUUCGUCCGUAAAGAACGCUUCUCGCGUCGUGAAGUGUCCAGCGGCGCAAUAACCAACACCGGACUUCAAAGUUACGCCAAACAAGCUUUGGAAAGGGCCCCAAAAAAGGGGCCUUUUGUUCCGGGCUAUUGUGCUAUUCGUAACACGUGGUUUGGCGAUUCAACGAGCGGACAUAUACACCUUUACGUCGAAAGGAGGGAAGCUGGUGACCUUCGGUGAUCACGCGGCCGGCCGGCGGUACGCGACGCAUGAUGAGCGGGAGUGAAGAACGCGUCGGGACGCCGACGAACGUUCUGGAACGUGAACGUUGGCUAGGGAGCAAGCGGCGUGGAUACCGGGGCGCCCCGCUUAAAAGUGAAGCAGAGUUGGUUAACAUGUAAGUGAAGAGAACAAAGGUGUAGGAAAGUAGGGAAUAGGAGUUAGGAGGAGAAAAGGGGUGGUUCCACUUCAAUAAAUGUGUUAAAUUAGAACUUAUCGUUUCACUUUCAAGUUAGUUAGAGAGUGGCCAAGCAACUUCUGAUGAUGUCAGGAGAGGACUUUAAAAAACUGUAACAUUGGCGCCCAACCAAAAAACCCAUUAUUAGGAGAAAAUUAGCUGCAAAUGUUUAUUUGUUGAUAAUUGUUAUUUGUCGAACGAACUAGUUUAUAUGAGAAACUAAGGUUAGAUUCGGUUGUAUAGUGGAAGAGAGACUUAGGAGUGCAAACAAGAGCUUUGUUAGUGGCAGCUUUUGGCCACGGUAUGAUGGCGUCUGAUCACACCCUAUUUGCCAGGACUCGCUGGCGCGAUUAUUAUGUGGAUUUGUGGUAUUUUAGCUUUUAGAAUAUGAUCUGGUGAGCUAUAGGCUUACGUUAUUUAGUUGGUUUAGUCAAACUUAUUCUUGAGGUCUGCUCAAGGUACAUUAGUGAUUCACGCUGCCGUUAACCGACCUCUUAGCAUAGCGUCUUAUAGUUCUCUAAGAAUUUUUCAAGAAUCGAAACAUUUUGAUUCUUGAAAAAUUCUCGUUUGUUGGGGGAAUUGUGUAACGUUUGCAUAAAAUAUUUGGUAAAUUUAUAGAAUUAGUCAAUCGUUUAUUAAAAAUAAGAUCCAACUAGAUUAGACUGCUUUAAAAUGUUCCGCUAGCUUGCUCAAUCAACACCGACAAAGCCAUUAUACGUUCAACACGUGUUGUAAUACCGCCGUCGAUGAGUCGCACAUGACAGAGACGGACCACGAAGAACCGACCCUCGCGAAGUGCGUAGAGGCAAACCUCGACAAACGAUCAUCACACGAACAGCGAUCGUCUAGACAGUGCCACGAAGGUUCAACUUUUGCAAAGCGCAUGGGAGCAAGUCUCGACAACAGAUCACCGGACGCUGUGCAAUCGCCAAGAGAGUGAGUUACACGGAGGCUUCAAGUAUGACACUCACCCGAAGUAUAUCGAACGAAACCAACAAUUUGGACGAGGGAUCAAUUGGCGCGUGCAGCCUCUUGCCUCAGUGCACGCUAAUCGCCGAGGAAGAUCAGGCGCUAUUUUGUAGUUCGUCCGUAAAGAACGUUUCUCGCGUCGUGAAGUGUCCAGCGGCGCAAUAACCAACACCGGACUUCAAAGUUACGCCAAACAAGCUUUGGAAAGGGCCCCAAAAAAGGGGCCUUUUGUUCCGGGCUAUUGUGCUAUUCGUAACACGUGGUUUGGCGAUUCAACGAGCGGACAUAUACACCUUUACGUCGAAAGGAGGGAAGCUGGUGACCUUCGGUGAUCACGCGGCCGGCCGGCGGUACGCGACGCAUGAUGAGCGGGAGUGAAGAACGCGUCGGGACGCCGACGAACGUUCUGGAACGUGAACGUUGGCUAGGGAGCAAGCGGCGUGGAUACCGGGGCGCCCCGCUUAAAAGUGAAGCAGAGUUGGUUAACAUGUAAGUGAAGAGAACAAAGGUGUAGGAAAGUAGGGAAUAGGAGUUAGGAGGAGAAAAGGGGUGGUUCCACUUCAAUAAAUGUGUUAAAUUAGAACUUAUCGUUUCACUUUCAAGUUAGUUAGAGAGUGGCCAAGCAACUUCUGAUGAUGUCAGGAGAGGACUUUAAAAAACUGUAACAAGGCAUGUUAGCCAUACGAACAUCAUAGAUGUGAUAAUCGACAAUGCGUUUCAAGCAUUUCAGGAAGAACGAGGUAACCAGAUAAAUCUGGAACUCAUUCCUUGUUUAUACAACGCACGCACCCUUUCGGGAUAAAACUAUGGAGUAAUUUCACGCCAUGAAAGUAGUUCAAAACACUAGUCAAAACAUGUUUGAAAUACUCAAAUCCUUCUGGAGAAAAAUAGGACAAAACCCAAUUUGUUCCUGGUGAUUUGAAGUAAGCAGAGCUUUUUCGGGCCCACUAAGUCGAUUAUAUAGCAGCAAUUCUCGGGACGGAAGCUAGAGAUUCGUAACUAUACAAAAGAAUGGUUUAUCCGGAGAUAUUUUGAACGUGU